UGCGGAAGGGAGGCUGGCGCUUUGGGCCUGCCUGCUCGCGGCGGGCAGUGCACCGGCCUUGGCGCUGGGCAGUGCGGAUACCGUGCUUUCGCAG
rnacentral:tRNA from 1 species